GAUGAAGAACGUAGCGAAAUGCGAUAAGUAAUGUGAAUUGCAGAAUUCAGUGAAUCAUCGAAUCUUUGAACGCACAUUGCGCCCGCCAGUAUUCUGGCGGGCAUGCCUGUUCGAGCGUCAUAUCAACCAUCAAGCCCUGCUUGCGUUGGGGUCCUGCGGCUGCCCGCAGGCCCUGAAAACCAGUGGCGGGCUCGCUAGUCACACCGAGCGCAGUAAUACAUCUCGCUUUGGGCGUGCGGCGGGUUCUUGCCGUUAAACACCCCCUUUUUACCAAGGUUGACCUCGGAUCAGGUAGGAAUACCCGCUGAACUUAAGCAUAUCAAUAAGCGGAGGA
rnacentral:misc_RNA from 1 species